GAGGGAGAUGAGCUGCAGCUGCAGCUAGGAUGCCUGUGUGGAAAGUGUCUGCUAGACACAGAACACAAAUAGUUCCUGCAUUUCUAAAAGGCCCAACUGCCGCGCUUGGCAUUAGUGAAGGGCAAGAUGCUGAGGAAAAGGGACAGCUCUAGGACCAGUUUGGGUGUGUGAGAAGUUAAACUUCCACCGCAGGAAGCAGGAAGCAAACGUAGCAGGUGGGAUAGCAAGCUGGUGGAGGAGGGGCUGCCACAGGCGGGGGACACAGACAAAGCAGGAAACUCCGAGGGAUCUCCCAUGGAAGCUGAGCAUCUUGAGGGCAGAUGUGCUUACCGCUAGUCCCAGCCGGUGGGAUAAAAGGUCAUUUGGUAACCUUCCUGCGACGUUAUCUUCUGGGAAGAUAAACAAAUUCACUGUGAACUGCCCAAGGAAGGAUUGAGUACAAGAGGGGACAGAUGGCAAGGCUUAAAUGCAAAUUCACUGCAGGACAAGAGUCCCAGCUGGAUCUUCCUGAUACACCUGGAGUCACUGGCUCCAGGCUUCACUACUGAGCACAGAAUGGAGCCAUUGGAGACUGGUGGAAAGCUGGCAGGUUCUCACCCCUUUGGCUGUUGGACUUUGCCUGGCCGUCCCAUCAGUUCUCUGAGGAAGCAGGACAGGGAGAGCCUAGCCAGACUGGCUUAGACCAUCCGCCACUGAGUUGGAGCCACCUGCUGUGCUGCUUCUCAUCCAUCUCCUUUGAUAUGCCACUACCUGCCUGAGGCUUAACCGGUUCUCCAAGAUCUUCCAGAGUUAGCUGCGAACUGUGAUCCUACUAAACUGAGAGUUCCUACUAAAAGGCUGAUCUGACAACUUCAAAGGAACUUUGCGUGACGGGGAAUGGGCCUCCCCUCUUCUUUAUAAAGCAUGUUCGCUGACAUUAAAGUUGAACCUGAUC
ensembl:lincRNA Gm26829 predicted gene, 26829